rnacentral:rRNA from 1 species
CCUACGGGUGGCAGCAGUCGAGAAUCAUUCACAAUGGGGGAAACCCUGAUGGUGCGACGCCGCGUGGGGGAAUGAAGGUCUUCGGAUUGUAAACCCCUGUCAUGUGGGAGCAAAUUAAAAAGAUAGUACCACAAGAGGAAGAGACGGCUAACUCUGUGCCAGCAGCCGCGGUAAUACAGAGGUCUCAAGCGUUGUUCGGAAUCACUGGGCGUAAAGCGUGCGUAGGCUGUUUCGUAAGUCGUGUGUGAAAGGCGCGGGCUCAACCCGCGGACGGCACAUGAUACUGCGAGACUAGAGUAAGGGAGGGGGAACCGGAAGUCUCGGUGGAGCAGUGAAAUGCGUAGAUAUCGAGAGGAACACUCGUGGCGAAGGCGGGUUCCUGGACAUUAACUGACGCUGAGGCACGAAGGCCAGGGGAGCGAAAGGGAUUAGAUACCCUGGUAGUC